rnacentral:lncRNA from 1 species
CCUCCGUUUACACCAGCUGCAUCGCUAGCAGCAUUUAAUCGGUGUAAAGCAGAAUCUGAAGGUAGUUUAGGCAUAGGGCUUCCACUUGCGGCAGCGAUUUCUCGAAGACCAGCGGCUCUGGCGGAACCGGCUACGUCACCUAGCGCACGGAUAAUAUUGUCGGCAUUAGUGUUAGAGCUCGCAUGAAGGUGCAAAGAUGUGAUACCGGAAUCACUAUUAAACUCGAUAAAAACAUGUUUUCGUUCAGAAGAAUAAUUUACAAGAUCGGUAACGGGCCAAACUUGGGCAGCGUCCAUGGUCUUAGUAAAAGUAAGAACAAUUGACUUAUUGUUGAUUGCUAAAAUACCAGUGCGUUUCUUUUUCUUGCCAACGACUUCACGGACCUCCCAUUUUUCGUAGGCAGGAUUACCCAUGGAGGAAGAGGAAUCGUAGGCUCGAGAAUCGUCGUGGGAAUCGGUGCGCAAUUUGAGAUGCUGAUUAGGAUCUCCAUAUGCAUCUGAAGGCGACGAAGGAGAAGGAGGGGAGUCGUAGGAAUGAGCCAUAGAAGAGGAAGUGCCAGUAGAUCUAGUAGACGCAUUAGUUGGGGGUCUUGGCGGCUGACUAGGGGUGGCCGGUGGAGGAGGAAUAUUAACUUGGGAGCCAAGAUUAUUCACAUUACGGGAAGGCAUAGGUAGCUGAGAAGUAUUAGUAGAUUGGGGUGGAAGUGUUGGAGGUGGUGGUGGGGGAGGAGCCGGAAGAGGAUCUGCUUGUUUCGGCGUGUACGUGGGAGGAAUCUCAGGAGACACGGCUCUGCCAGAGGAGUAGUAGUCAUCUGGCUCGUUGGCGUCUGCCGCCUGAUCCUCCACUGCCGGAGGAGGUGGUGGUGGUGGUGGGGGGUUGUAGUCAGAGGGCAAGGAAGUAGCUGGAGCAGCAGCACUCGGCGGUUGAAACGAAGGUGGAGGAGAGACCAUGGAGUUGGGAGCGCUCACUGUUGGAGCGUUGACACCAGAAGCAGAGGGUUCCUGAGAUGCCGGGGCGCUGGACGCAUCCAUCCCCUCAACGUAGUUUCUCGGAGCAAGUCCGAAAUUAUUAUUAAAACCAACCAAAAUCCAAUCUGAAUCAGUGUCGCCAUAACAGUCUAAAGUUUGGUCCGCUUGAAAGGAGAUUUCAUCAACGGAUUGUUGAGUAUAAUCAUACAAAGCUUUCAUUUUUGUUGAGGGUUCAGCCUAUACACAAAAUGGUUAGCAAGCGGCUUUACAAUAACAUUAUUACUAAAUGAGCAAAGACAAGACUCGAUCUAUUUCUCCUUCACGUAUCCUAUCGCAUCAAACAUGUAGAAGACCGUGGUCUCUGUCAUUUAUUCUACACAUACCUCAGUAAUAUAAUUUGAAGGAACGAUUCCAAUUUCUUCAUCGUCAUCAUUACUGUUUACAUUCCGUUUGACGAGAUACCAAUCGUCUUCACCUUUCUCAAGAAGACAAACAAUUUCAUCCUCAACGAUCGAGAUUUCUCGUUCGUUUUCUGGAAUCUCUUCACCCGGAUUGAUUUCUUGCGGUUCAUAACUGUACAGCACCUUAUAGAUGCCUAUUAUAGGUAAAUUUGCCAUGGCGACAAAUGUAGGUUGUACAGUCUGAGUUGAUAAACGAUGUAGCCAAGGUGGCUUUACCAGAUUGUGUAAAUGGUAGUGAUGAGCAGUGCAACAAGUUAAAGAUCUAUAACGAUGUAGUCAAUAAUUUGUUAAAUAAUCAUAACAGUAAUAUUACCCUAUUAUUUCAUUAUGGGUUGUUUUACAUGAUGCAGCGAUUCUCGUUAUAUCCAAGAAAUUUAAAAGGUAUACGAUUUGAAGAAGAAAGGUUUGUUGCUUUUUAACAAAUAAAAUAAUGCUUAAAGGUAUGCAAGUUAUUUUCUAUGGCCUUCCUACCGCCAACUGGUGUUAGCAACUUGGAACCGAAUAGUGAGCUGGCAAUUGAAAACUACGAAAAGUAAAUGACUCGAAGAACCAAGUGUACAAAUUGCUGAGUACAAGACCAUGCUUUCCAGAUCUAUAUUCUGAUGUACUGUACAAAAUCCUCGUACAUUGUCAUCGAAUAAAAGUUGCAAACUGU